rnacentral:rRNA from 1 species
UUUUUUAAUUGAAAACUUGUAUGAAUGGUUGAAUGAGAUAUAAGCUGUUUCAUAAAAAUUUAAUUAAAACUUUAUUUUUUAGUUAAAAAGCUAAAAUGUAAUUAAAAGACGAGAAGACCCUAUAAAGUUUUAUAAUUAUUUAUUAAUUUAUUUAUAUGAUUUUUUUAAAAUUUAUUAAAAAAAAUUAUUUUGUUGGGGUGAUAAUAAAAUUUAAAAAACUUUUAUUGUUUAAAACAUUAAUUUAUGAUAUGAUGAUCCUUUAUUAAAGAUUAAAAAUUUAAAUUACUUUAGGGAUAACAGCGUAAUUUUUUUUUUAAGUUCAAAUUUAUAAAAAAGUUUGC